AGUGAACGCUGGCGGUAGGCCUAACACAUGCAAGUCGAACGGCAGCACAGUAAGAGCUUGCUCUGACGGGUGGCGAGUGGGGGACGGGGGAGGAAUACAUCGGAAUCUACUUUUUCGUGGGGGAUAACGUAGGGAAACUUCCCCUAAUACCGCAUACGACCUGCGGGUGAAAGCAGGGGCUUCUCGGUCCUUGGGCGGUGGAGUAAGCCGAUGUCGGAUUGGCUAGUUGGGGGGGUAAAGGCCCGCCAAUGCGCCGAGCGGUAGCUGUUCUGAGAGGAUGAACAGCUACACUGGCUCUGAGACACGGUCCAGACGCCUACGGGAGGCAGCAGUGGGGAAUCUUGCACAAUGCGCGCAAGGCUGAUCCAGCCAUACCGCGUGGGUGAAGAAGGCCUUCGGGUUGUAAAGCCAUUUUGUUGGUAAAGAAAAACAGCACGUUAAUCCCGCGCUGUUAUGACGGUACCCAAAGAAUAAGCCCCGGCUAACUUCGUG
rnacentral:rRNA from 1 species